rnacentral:rRNA from 1 species
UACGGGGGGAGCAAGCGUUGUUCGGAUUUACUGGGCGUAGAGGGCGCGUAGGCGGUCAGCACAAGUCAGUUGUGAAAUCUCCGGGCUUAACCCGGAACGGUCAACUGAUACUGUGCGACUAGAGUGCGGAAGGGGCAACUGGAAUUCUCGGUGUAGCGGUGAAAUGCGUAGAUAUCGAGAGGAACACCUGCGGCGAAGGCGGGUUGCUGGGCCGACACUGACGCUGAUGCGCGAAAGCCAGGGGAGCGAACGGG